UCCUCAGAUAACAGAACGCUAGGAUAUAGCCUACAUGUAUCUGAUAGAUGCCUGGCGUGUCUAAAAAAAUCAAAGUAUAACGGCUCAAAUCCGCCCUUUUAACAACUUAACUGUACUAGAUCCAUACCUGUCUAAAAAAGGUAAUGAACCCAUGGAUAAAAAAAUGUAUCAAUCAAUUAUUCGAUGGCCAGGUGCAAAGGGCGAUGGUCAAACCGAAAGGGGCAGUCACACCUUCCACAAAGUAAACAACUCACAGCUGAUAUAAUCAUCAGAAUAGUGAAACUAAACAGACCUUUCCAGUUAACGCUGUGGUCCAUCUGCGCAAUCUUCCCGUGUGUGAUCUCAGCUAAAAUGACGACAUGCAGGUUGCAAUCGCUGUCUUUGGCUCUCCUCAUUAUUUGGACACAGAUGAUUUUCGCCCUCUUCGUAUUUGCAGCUGUUUUCAUCGAUUCCAAUGAAGUCACCAUAAGUCCCUUCAAUUUCUGUUCAAAGGGACAACACGGCAAAAUACUAUCUUGCCAAACACUUAUAUCGACCGUCGUAAUCAGAGCUUUUGAGACAACUAUGAUCAUAUCAAAACCAGCUGUUAUCCUUUGUCUUUACGUCCCUGUGGUGCUUGUGCCCUUUGCUCUGCUGAGCUCGCUGCUAUCAGACAGUGCGGGCUCCAGCGUGCUGCGGCUCAGCAUGUGGUGCCAGGCUGCCGCCAGCGCCCUCAGCCUACUGGGCCUGGUCUGGUUUGUCGGACUCAACUGGGCCUAUGCCAGUCCAUCAGCUAUGACCGUGUACUACUACUGCUGUGUUUUAGUAACCGCUGAGUUGGCCGUUACAACGUAUCUGAGUUAUGUGUUGUGGAGGAAGCUCGAUCACCAACAACAACAAAGCAUGCUUUCCACCAGUGUUGAUGAUUGUAUUCUCGUUUCAACCUCAUGAAAUUAUAUUUUUGCACAGAUAUUUCUUACAAAAUCGCUGCUCCUUUCAAACUGUUAUGAUACAUACUGUUAAUUAAAAAAAUAUUAUGGCAUUAUGUAUACCAGUGUUUGACAGUGACCACCCUAUGCUUUUACAAUCUUUAAUCUUUUAUGGCUUUCAUACAAAUAAAAUAAUUACAAUUUA